rnacentral:rRNA from 1 species
GAUGAACGCUGGCGGCGUGCCUAAUACAUGCAAGUCGAGCGAACGGACGAGAAGCUUGCUUCUCUGAUGUUAGCGGCGGACGUGUGAGUAAAACGUGGAUAACCUACCUAUAAGACUGGGAUAACUUCGGGAAACCGGAGCUAAUACCGGAUAAUAUUUUGAACCGCAUGGUUCAAAAGUGAAAGACGGUCUUGCUGUCACUUAUAGCUGGAUCCGCGCUGCAUUAGCUAGUUGGUAAGGUAACGGCUUACCAAGGCAACGAUGCAUAGCCGACCUGAGAGGGGGAUCGCCGACACGGGAGGUGAGACGCGGUCCAGAGUCCUACGGGAGGCAGCAGUAGGGAAUGGUGCGCAAUGGGCGAAAGACUGACGGAGCAGCGCCGCGUGAGUGAUGAAGGUCUUCGGAUCGGAAAACUGUGUUAGGGGGGAAAAACAUAUUUGUAAGGAACUGUGCACAUCGUGACGGUACCUGAUCAGGAAGCAACGGCUAACUACGUG